UGUGGAGAUGAAGAAUUGUGUGCUAUUUUGUGCCCUGUCGUGAUUGCCAUCCACAGUUGAAGAUCGUUCCCAAGCAGGCUGGUUUGCUGGUCUCCUUUGACUUUGUUUCAAGGACGGUGAUUUGCAAAAGGCUUCAGAAAGGCAAACCCCUGAGGAAAAAUUUCAUGGAAUCUUGUGUACGGGAAGUUCCUCUGGGAUUUUGCCUGUUCUCUGAUCGCAACCAAAAUUACUGAUGACCCCCGGGAACGAAAACACAGCCUGCUCAGACUGGCAGGGAGAAGAUGUAAGGUCUUCAUCUGGUGGACAGUGUGAUUGUGAUCAAGAACCACAGGAGAAGUACAGGUGCCGGCUGUAGCCUCCAUCCCGAUCAGCAGAAGGCAGGGGACCUCCCAGCUGAGUUGACAGCCAAGACGCUGACCUGGGCUUUCGGUAGACAGUUUGUCUCCUCUGCCUCCAAAGUACCAUUUCUCCGACAACAAUCGACCGAGUCGCUCCUGGAAGUAACCCCAAGAGUGAAGGCCCUAGCAGCCAUCAGCACCUCGAAGACACUAUCUUGCAGUAUUUUGGUGUCUGUUAUUGUUCAUGAGAAAUCAAACAUUAAGCG